GUGGGGAAUCUUGCGCAAUGGGCGAAAGCCUGACGCAGCCAUGCCGCGUGAAUGAUGAAGGUCUUAGGAUUGUAAAAUUCUUUCACCGGGGACGAUAAUGACGGUACCCGGAGAAGAAGCUCCGGCUAACUUCGUGCCAGCAGCCGCGGUAAUACGAAGGGGGCUAGCGUUGCUCGGAAUUACUGGGCGUAAAGGGCGCGUAGGCGGACAGCUUAGUCAGAGGUGAAAGCCCAGGGCUCAACCUUGGAAUUGCCUUUGAUACUGGCUGUCUUGAGUUUGGGAGAGGUGAGUGGAACUCCGAGUGUAGAGGUGAAAUUCGUUGAUAUUCGGAAGAACACCAGUGGCGAAGGCGACUCACUGGCCCAAUACUGACGCUGAGGCGCGAAAGCGUGGGGAGCAAACAGGAUUAGAAACCCGGGUAGUCC
rnacentral:rRNA from 1 species